GAUGAACGCUGGCGGCGUGCCUAAUACAUGCAAGUCGAGCGAACAGAUAAGGAGCUUGCUCCUUUGACGUUAGCGGCGGACGGGUGAGUAACACGUCGGUAACCUACCUAUAAGACUGGAAUAACUCCGGGAAACCGGGGCUAAUGCCGGAUAACAUUUAGAACCGCAUGGUUCUAAAGUGAAAGAUGGUUUUGCUAUCACUUAUAGAUGGACCCGCGCCGUAUUAGCUAGUUGGUAAGGUAACGGCUUACCAAGGCAACGAUACGUAGCCGACCUGAGAGGGUGAUCGGCCACACUGGAACUGAGACACGGUCCAGACUCCUACGGGAGGCAGCAGUAGGGAAUCUUCCGCAAAGGGCGAAAGCCUGACGGAGCAACGCCGCGUGAGUGAUGAAGGUCUUCGGAUCGUAAAACUCUGUUAUUAGGGAAGAACAAAUGUGUAAGUAACUGUGCACGUCUUGACGGUACCUAAUCAGAAAGCCACGGCUAACUACGUG
rnacentral:rRNA from 1 species